rnacentral:rRNA from 1 species
AUUGAACGCUGGCGGCAUGCCUUACACAUGCAAGUCGAACGGCAGCACGGGUGCUUGCACCUGGUGGCGAGUGGCGAACGGGUGAGUAAUACAUCGGAACAUGUCCUGUAGUGGGGGAUAGCCCGGCGAAAGCCGGAUUAAUACCGCAUACGAUCUACGGAUGAAAGCGGGGGACCUUCGGGCCUCGCGCUAUCGGGUUGGCCGAUGGCUGAUUAGCUAGUUGGUGGGGUAAAGGCCUACCAAGGCGACGAUCAGUAGCUGGUCUGAGAGGACGACCAGCCACACUGGGACUGAGACACGGCCCAGACUCCUACGGGAGGCAGCAGUGGGGAAUUUUGGACAAUGGGCGAAAGCCUGAUCCAGCAAUGCCGCGUGUGUGAAGAAGGCCUUCGGGUUGUAAAGCACUUUUGUCCGGAAAGAAAUCCUUGGCUCUAAUACAGUCGGGGGAUGACGGUACCGGAAGAAUAAGCACCGGCUAACUACGUG